ACUCCUACGGGAGGCAGCAGUAGGGAAUCUUCCACAAUGGGCGCAAGCCUGAUGGAGCAACACCGCGUGAGUGAAGAAGGGUUUCGGCUCGUAAAGCUCUGUUGUUAAAGAAGAACACGUAUGAGAGUAACUGUUCAUACGUUGACGGUAUUUAACCAGAAAGUCACGGCUAACUACGUGCCAGCAGCCGCGGUAAUACGUAGGUGGCAAGCGUUAUCCGGAUUUAUUGGGCGUAAAGAGAGUGCAGGCGGUUUUCUAAGUCUGAUGUGAAAGCCUUCGGCUUAACCGGAGAAGUGCAUCGGAAACUGGAUAACUUGAGUGCAGAAGAGGGUAGUGGAACUCCAUGUGUAGCGGUGGAAUGCGUAGAUAUAUGGAAGAACACCAGUGGCGAAGGCGGCUACCUGGUCUGCAACUGACGCUGAGACUCGAAAGCAUGGGUAGCGAACAGGAUUAGAUACCCUCGGUAGGAUAG
rnacentral:rRNA from 1 species